AUAUAUAUCAAUAUAUAUAUUACAAUCCCUACAUUCAACCACAGGAUCUCAUAGGGUCAUGACCCACAGUUUAAGCUAUGACUCAGAUGAGCCAUUUCUUAUAGUGUAUCUCAUUUUUCUACCUUAAAGAUAGAACUUCAUCCAUGUUCAUCAGACAGAACCCUCUGUUUCACAACAGGACAAUUUAUAGAGUAACCUGUUUCAUGAGGGAACUCAGAGUCUGCUCCAUGAGCUCCUUUAUAUGUGGUUUCCCUUUCUAUAGCUUCUGUUGUUCAUACUCCAAAAAAGCAUUCGGUGGAAAGUUCCAGAAAUAAACAGUUGAUACUUAUUAAGUAAAUUUAUUGCAAUCUACUGUGUAUAGUUGUUUAACUUCAUGAUUAGUCAUUGUUAAGCCCUUUUGGUGUCUACUUUACAAGUCGAACUUUAUCCUAAGGAUGCGUGCAGAGGAGAGAACACUGCACAGAGGGCUCGGGAGUUCCUGGCUUCUGGCAGCUGCUGGUUUGUUAGAGGAGCCUAUGAGGAUUAGGGAAAACCGAAAACUCUUCCCAUUAUCCCUGUGCCCAGUAGCUGCCUGGUUUUGUGAUGGACUGUUAGGCAGCAUGGCUAUUUUUUUUCUCUGAAGCACACUUACUUAAAAAGCGCACUUCAGGGUUCCUUAAGAAAAGGGGUGGGGGCGAGGGGGACAGGAAAAGAAAAGGGGAAAGAAAAGGAAGCAUGCAAUGAUAAGAGAGCAGUGUCGAUGUUUUGGAGAGUUUUGCCUCCUAGGAAUGUGAAUGGACAGAGAGUGGCAAAGGCAACAAAAAGUUUUAGAAGAAGGACUUAAGCUGAUGUCCCCUGCUCAAAGAGGAAAAUACAGAAGCAGCCACCCAAUGAACUGAGCUCUGCCUGCCAGGUGAAAUAGGAAACUUGUGUUUCCCACCUUGUGACCAGCAAGUCUAGGCUGUAACUACAACUACUAGGUUUGCUCUUUCCAGAGAGGUAGAAGAGAGGCUCGAGGCUCUAGGCAGAGCCCGUCUUCCACACUUAGCCUCUCAGUCUGAUUUGAAAGGCUAAACUACUCUCUUAUACCUACAAAGUAAGAGUAAGAUGAGGUACGGGGUGAGAAGACACGAGGGCCUUAACAGAAGGAAGACCGAAGCUGCCUUCAUCCACAGAUGCAUUAGUUCAUCUCGGUGAUGCUCUCACUCAGAACCAAGAGGAACAGGAAUGUUCUUCCUUACACAGAGUGGCCAGACCAGUGUUUCUCUGGAGGGAGGCAUGCACACGCACCCCACACGUUUCUGGCUCUACUAGUCCAGAUGGGAAGAUCCUUCUUGAUCUUCUUAACAGACUCACACCCAUGUGAGUGGCUAUGGGCCUGGGGGUAGCAUGAGGAAUGCACUGAAUCCUUGUCUACAGCUAACAAGAUCACAGAUACCUACUUGAACAGGAAAAUUAGAGCGUCUAGAAAGCCCCUUUGCCUCUCACCGUGCCCACUAAAGUUGCCAGUGUGCACAGUGUGCUUAUGUUGAAAGGCAAGCACUUGUACCUAAUUAACUGAGUGGCUAGUGUGAGUGCCACUCCAAGUGCCACAAAGGAACUGGAGCCUCCGAAAGGAAACAAGCUUAGGUGCUGUAAUAGACGCACACCCGGAAUUCUCUGCUUUUGAAACGGUCGAUUCUCUUAGGUGGUUUCACAAUAAGAGAGUCAUAAGGUUUUUAUCGUGCAUUUAACCUUCUUCCUCGACUAUAUUUAAUGUACUUAGUAUUUCCCAGCCCUUCCUUAAACAGUCAAUGCUCCAUCUGUCAGAGCUUUGUCCCAGCUGACUCUAAAAUGAUCUAACUGGACAGAGUGGUAUCCCUUUCCUCCCUGUCCAUCACGUCGGCACUUCCUCUUCCUCCGCUUCUUGUCCUGGGAAUUUUUCUUUUAAGUCUUGUGCUCUUGUUCUCUGGGUUCCAUCUCCAGAGGGCCGUGGUCCUGUCUGCCCACUGCCGACAUCUUCCCUCCCACCUCCUGACCACUAAGAAACAGAAUGAAAAGCAUCAGGGGGGUUGAGUACCCAGGAACACCUUGAGAGUGGUUGUCUAGGAAGCUACAGAGUCAGAGGAUGUUGCAACACAUUGCCAUGGAGGGAAGAGAGGGAACCCUGGAGAAAAGCUCCCACAGAUUACAGACAGGCCACCUGGCUUCUCUAUGUCACUCAAGAACGAUGCGGUCCACAUGUACUUUUUAAAAUGUUACAACUUCUAGAGAUGUUUUCGGUGAAAAUGCUUUAAGACUGUAAUACAUUCUGUCACAUAUGACUAUAACAAGUAUUUUAAUAUGAUUUGAAGCCAGUAGACACAUGAGUUAUAGUCCUGUGGUGUGUGUUUCUUUUUAUGAAGCCCCUGAAGCAUGGAGAGGGCUAUUUUUCACUAUGCUGACAUUCCCCUGUGUAACUGCUUCUUUAGUUCUUAUUCUUUUGUCUCGUUGUCAGGUUAUACUCUUACAAAGCUUUCAGCCUGCAAACCGUGAGGAAGGGACCUAGAGGAGUAAGCCUUUAGAAGCCCCUCUGCCGGAAGCAUAGUUCCUCUGGUUCUGAUCUAACACAGUGCUUCACAGACUCACUUUGUGUAAACGUCACAGACUUACUUGUGUAAAAGUGCUUCCCAGACUCACUUGUGUAAAUGUCACUAGUGCUGAGUUCUUACUCAUCCCUUAUGAUCUUGGUUUGGUUGCUCUACAGCUGUGUAAGGAAUGGGGCUCGUAAAACAAAACAAAACAAAACAGCAACAACAACAAACAAACAAACGAAACCCACUCCUCUGUCGUUUUUUCUAGGCAGUCAACCUGUAAAAUCUGUGCUUCCAAUCUAAAUCUUAGAAAUGGGCUUUUAUCUUCCAAGAUAAAGAAGUUCUAGCCUACCUAUGAAAGGUGAUGGCUUGGACAACAGUGUAGCUUCCCCCAGCACAGGUGACGAUGAUGACCCUGAUAAGGACAAAAAGCGUCACAAAAAGCGUGGCAUCUUUCCCAAAGUAGCCACCAAUAUCAUGAGGGCGUGGCUGUUCCAGCAUCUAACAGUAAGUGGAUUCUAAAUGACGUAUGUAAACUAAAUAUGGACAAUGAACCAGUUUUGAUAGAGGAAAAAGAAAAACGAUCCCCCUGCACCUUCUCCAUCCCUGUGUUCGCCAUUUUUAACAAAGGGCUAGCACUUGUUUCCUAGACCCAUACCCUAAAUCAGGAGCUUCAUUUGAAGCUCACUAUUGUGAUUGCAUUGAUUUUCAUAAGUUAUAAGGCUUGGGAGCCCAUGUGCACUUGUGGUUUUUAUGAAUGUAUGCUAAUGAAAUGACAUUGCUUUUCCAAGUGACUCUGAAGUACCUGCAGCUACUACUCACUAAACUUUCUAAAAAGAAAGCAAAACCCAUCCUAUAGAUGGUAACUUGCGUGACCACUCUAGGGGACCCUCCCAGUGUUCGUUCUCCAGACCAUCUACUAUAUUUGGAUGGCGAGAUGGUCAUGUAACUUGCUAUACAGGGGCUUGAAUGGACCCUUCCAUUACGACAGGAAUGUGGUGAGUCACCUCAGUGAGAGUUGUCCCUGCAGUUAAGAGUUGUAAAGGAAAACAGCAACUCUUCCUGUGCAGUCCCCUGGGACAUCUGGAGCAGAGCAGUUUAUAUUUCUGUGUGAGCGCUGCUCUUUUCACUGUGGGAAUUCUGGAGAUGUGAGAAGCUAGAGACUCGGGGCUUUACACCAAACCAACAUGGUGCUUGUUUAGUGUGCUGAUUGUUCUGAAUGAAUUUCAUGCUCAAAGUAUUUACAAUCACACUCUUCUGGUGGCUAUUUUGCAAGCGUAUGUGGGCUUUUCGGCAUUUAAGAAAGAUGCCAAAAUAAAAAUGUAUGGAUAAAAUAAUAUUCUAAAAGUGAGUUAAAAUUGUUGACCAGGGCAUUUUUCAAUAUUAUGGAUGUAGGUUAAAGUAAGAGUACGUAGAUGAACAGAAGUUAAAAAAUUGUGACUUUGGCUUCAAUAGGUUCACUAUUUUAAUCUUAGAUUGAUUUUUUAAAAAAGCUUUUCCCCCCUAAAAAGCCCAGAGCCUGGCAACUCUCACUCUCUUGCCCAGUUUUCUGGCCAUGUUCUUCAAGAGGAGUUCUGGUCUAAAGGAACAUACUCAGUUGUAUAUAAAAGAACCAUUAACUCUGCUAUGCUGGAUAAGUGCUUCACCUCCAAUAACACUCAAGGAUAUAAAUUAAUCCACCUUCUCCAGCCCUGACGUAUGAAAUAAAAACCAAGAGCUGUUGCAAAAUCUAAAAAACGAUAGUUUCCUCUUCUUCCCAUCGUGAUUCAAAAACACGGUCUAAACCAGUGGUUCUCAACCUUCCUAAUGCUAUGACCCUUUAAUAUAGUUCUAGUUGUGGGUGACCCCCAACCAUCAAAUUAUUUUUGUUGCUGCUUCAUAAUUGUCAUUUUGCUACUGUUAGGAAUCGUAAUGUAAGCAUGUACUAUGGAGGAUGGAUGACCCACAGGUUGAGAACCAUUGAUCUAGACGGUGUUGAGUAUUUUCAAGAAAAGUUCACAAGAUGGUUAGCACUGGAAGCUACUGGAUCACGACACCAUGAUUAUUUUGACAACAUAUCUGCUUUCCUUAAAAGGAUCCUAAUUUCAUUACUUGUCUAAAAUGUGUUGCGUAUAGGUAAAUGGCUUGUGUAAUUUUCCAACUGAUGAUUUUCAACCAUGGGAGAACUAGAGAAGGAAGGACUGUGGUGCCCAAGGCAGAUGAUGGGAGCAUUGUUUAGAGAAGAGGUGACAGCAGUGUGCUCUGGGUGCUCAUGCUGGGAUGCUGGUAGUUGUUAUGAGAGCCAACUGGCUGUUCUGAUCUGCAGUAGGAGUCAAAUCAGGAUGGCCCUGAACUUACGACCAAACUACUGCUAUUUCCUAUCUUAACAGGAAGAAGAGAUAGAUAGCCUCAGCUCCCUUAUCAGCCUGAGAAGGACCUUUGGGGUGACUUGACUCUUAGAUGUCCCUGAAUAGAAUAGAAUCAAAUAUUGGUUAGGACAAAUUCAGGAAGAGAUAGGAGCAAGCUAUGCUACUCAUCUGCCACUUUUCCCAGGUUGUACUCCUGUGAAGAACCUUUCAGAGAUCUAUACUGUCCAAAAGAAAUAAAAAUCAAACAGACACCAAAUCCUUUCUAGUAGCAUGGUUUUACCUAUAGCAUAAUGCUCAUGUGAACCUUGUGUUUCUGGGACAAUUGUAAUGGAAAUUACCCACGAACUGAUUUCUGGAGGCCUGGCUGGUUGCCCUCAGUCACUAGCAUGGGUCACUGCCCUGGAAGAGAAGUCCUCCCUCCAGGCUUCUUGGGCUUUCUAUGAAUGUCUGUGGAAGUUGCUUUGCAGUUUCUACUGGGGACUUGCACACCCUGACCCACCCUGGCACCUUCUGCUCACAAAGAACUGUGGGUAUUGAGAAUGACUUCCAAUAAGCCAGUUCCUCUGGUAGCAUUUUUGAAAGGUAGAGCUAUGGGGCGUGGAAGUUUUCACCCCUCUACUUUCCCCAAGGAGAAUCCACCCUACCCCUGUAAAGGAAAGAACAAGUGGAUUUCCAUUUUCAAGGAAUCUGCCCCCCUCCGCCCCUUUCUAUAUUUACAGAGACAAUGUCCAGGGCACUUAGGCAGAGUUACGGUCAGGAGCUGAUUCCAAUAAAUUCUAUGGAAAAAGCAGUAGAUGUGAAAGAGUAUUGCCGCAUGUCCUACCUGCUACUACUGACCCUAUGGUAACUUCAAAUCCUAGUAGCUCUCUAGGGACACUUAAGUCUUCCUUAGGAAAACUGUCACAGAUUGUAAAACAAUUGCAUUAUUUCUGUGUGACUAAUGUGAUUUAUCUGGAAACUCCAUUCUGAAAUAUUGCUCCACAUAAAAGAGGAGUCAAACUCUGACCAAUUAAAAAGUAGCAAUAACUUUGGUAAAUUAUAAAUGAAUUUUUCUUAAAUACCAAAAGGUGUUAUUCUAAAAGCCGGAAUACCCUGUAGAAAGUAGGUUGCUAGUCCUUUCUUUCUUUCUUUCUUUCUUUCUUUCUUUCUUUCUUUCUUUCUUUCUUUCUUUCCUCCUUUCUUUCUUUCUUUCUUUUUCUCUCUCUCUCUUUCUUUCUUUCUUUCUUCUAAAAUAAAUGGACGGAUCCUUCUAUUGAGUUUCCUCAGUUUAAAAGUUGAAAAGGCUUUCAAGCAUUUGUGUGUCAAAGGCAUAGAAAAGGCUUUGCAGCCAGCUGCAGGCGAAGGAAGCUUUGGUAUUCACUUAGCUACAGGUAGAUUUAAUCAGCCACUCAUGUUACUAGUCCAGAGAACUAAAGGCUGUUUCUUAGGCUCACAGACUAGCCAUCUCACCUGCAUGCUCAUGUAUAACACAAACAACAGAAGCAAAGGAAACCAGUCUGAGGCUCUGGUGAUUAUCCAGUCAAUCCCUCCAGCUCAGACUUCCCAAACAUUUGUCAGUGUUGAUAAGUAGGGAAAGUCUCUUCAAAGAAACGCUUCCCCGCAAGAGAGAAGGCCGACGGACAUGAUUUAGGUAGUUAAUAAGAGAGAAGCGGAAAGGAAAUAGAAGCAUUUAUUCACGGAGAUGCUUGUGUUUGCCUGAAGACAAACCCUUGCACACAAUUACAAGCUAUUUAAUAUCUCCAUGAGUCAGAAUCAGUUCAGGACUUAUGUCACGUCAAGAUAUUUCCCCUUCUCCUGGGCAUUGUCCCCAAAGUAAAUGGCAUACUACGUCUUUGGACUUCCACUGGAUAUGUUUCACAUCCCAUAUCUCUUACUCCACCGUGUUAUAGAGAUAUGUUCCUGGGCCACUAGGAAUGAAGAAAAGAACAAAUUCGAUGUUAGGUAAAGCAGGGGCCUUUGGUUUCCUUACCUGAUCAUGUUGCAUUUUAACGGUUUAGUUGAGCUAGAAAAGUGGUUAAUGAAGGUCUUCUUCAGAAUGUGCAGUGCCUGUGCGCUCCUGUUUGGAGCUCUGUGUAUUGCAGGCAUCCUAAAAGUGUGGAGGAGUGGAGGUCAAGACGAAGACUCAGGUGGAGAAAGUAUUCAAAUGUCAAAGGUCAUUACUUGCCUUUAACUAGCAGCCAGUCUUCCUGUCUCCCCGUCUUUGCACCGAUAUGAGGAUCCCCUCAGGUUAAGCCUUACAAAUGUCGUUUCUGAGACGAAGACAUAUUUCCUAUGUGUGCCUGAUUCCUUUAUUUGUUUAUUUUCUGUGUGUGAAUGCCUAGUCUGAAAAUAUUUUCAUAUGUGUGUGGUCAAAUUCAUGGCUCAGUAUCUGAUUUAUAAGACUCUCCUCUCAUGGACACAGCCAAUGCGAGGGCUUGUAGAAUCUUCCAGAUUGAGAAUGGUGUUUCCAUAGAAACACUAUUAGAUGAAAAGUGCCCUGCGGGUCCGCCACCUCGCACGGAGCAAAUGGGAUGGGACUGGGAAUUGAUUGCUCUAGAAGAGACAGAUGUUGUCCUCUGGUUCUGAUCUUGGUAACAAGAUCCAUUGGAGGAUCUCAGUGUCAUAGCCUGGCUAACAGUUCUGGAAGGAUCACCAUCUAGACACAGCCAUCAAUUAUUGCAGAGGGAAAGUUCUAAUUAUUAUCCCAAUGGCUUUUUUUUCUGUUGAUCAAGGUAAGAGAGGGAUCACAAGGCACUCCAGUAUCCACACAGGGAGCUAUCGGGUGACAUUUUCUUUUCUCCUUACAUUUUCAUUUCUUAACAGCGAAUAUUCUUAGCUUGCCUUACCCACUCUGAAAGAAGUAGGGCAGAGUUCAGAAAGCAGAGCAGCAGGUCGUUGGAGUUUGUGAGAGCUUUACUUGAGAUGUCAGUCAGGGUAAUACAAAGUUGUGCAGCAAGGUGGUUUGUCUACACUAACCCCAGACCACUUUGAUUCUCGUGUGCCUGGCCACGGGAGGUAGUUUAUAAUUAGAGCAGUCAAAUUGCAUGUGUGUGUGUGUGUGUGUGUGCCGCUACAAACCAAGGCUUUGCCUUGUGCUAAGCCAGCCUUCUAUUACUAAGACAUACCUGUAACCCACCCAGAAUUCUGAUUUUCUUCUCACAACUUGCAGCAAUCCUCCUGCCUCAGCCUUCCAAGUGCUGGCAUUGCAGAUAUGAAUCAUCACGCAUCAUCAACAGACAUUAAAUUACUACACUUAAACACUACUAGGGAGGAGUGAAGGCUUUUCCUAUCAGAUGUCUGUGGACCACAUUUAAAACAAGCUCUUCCCAACCCAGAAGAGUUCCUUUGUGGUCCUUUCUAUCCCCCUUGGACUUACACUUCCUCUGCCCAUAGCUAGGUUCUGCUGGCACUAACUCAGGCUCAGCGGGCAAGGCUGUUUUGAAUCUUAAGAGAUGGCUGCAGCUUUUAAAGGCAGCCUAUUCCAACUCUGAUUACAUAAGAACCCUGACUGCUUCUCGUCCAAGUGGGAAUCACCUGUCUCAGGAGGAAAAUGGAAUGGAUUAUUUAAUUAUUGGAGAGACGGGAAUGCCCUAAUUACUCUGCGAUAUGCAUCACAUAAACUCUGUUCAGUCGUGAAGAUGGAAUUGAGGGGCUAACGGAUUCUAGGGCAGCUGCCUCCUUUUUUCUUAGGUAGUUAUUGAAAUCCUAAUGGAUGGGUGAUGAAUUUUCUUAGGUCAGGUAAACUGAAAGGGCUACAGCUGGAGUUCUUCACCCAGAAGAAUUGGAGUUAAUACUAAUGAUCAUUGUGAAUUAGAAGAUCAAAGGGGAGCACAGUCCUGUCUUCAAGUUCUUGCCCCAGAGGCCAUUAGUGACCUGGCAGAGCCCUCUCCCAGCCUUUCCCCCCCCCACCUCCUCCCAUGGCCUGUUCUUUCUUGCCUACUCCUGGCUGUGCACCUUUGACCUGAAGUAAUUAUGCCCCGUUGAUGAGGAGAUAGAAAAGGGAAAACAAUCAAAUGUGUAAACAACAGCUCAACUUCACACAGGUACGCAGGGCUCACAAAUAGGACGGUGUCCCAUGCUCAUUUCCAGCUGCGAGUGGAAUGCUUGCCCGCAGAUGGCUCAGUGCUUUCACCAAUGGCCGCUCCCUUCUCAGGGGGACUUUUUGGUAGGGUCUAGCUAGCCACAGUUAACAACAGCUCAAAAAUAAGAAAUUCUCUUUCAUUUCCAAAGCCAAGAAAGACAUGAAGCAGAUUUGGUUUCUCGUCCUGGAUUCUAGGAAUCAAACCCGGGACCUGCACAUGCAAAGAAAGUGCUCUACCACUGAGCCAUCCCCCCAAACCCUCUGCUGUACUCUUAAUUGGGCUAAUUAGAUAAAGAUUGAGUUUAAAUCAAAAGUGUCCACGUGAGCUCAUGUUAUUAGGCUGCUUGUGGCUACACACAUGACUGAACUGUAGCCAUCCUUCCAACUUCAAAGCCCACGUCAGCAGCAUGGCUGCCUUUUAUUCCAAUUAAUGACGAUACAUUUUCUAAGACAAAAUAUCAAACAUGGUCAACGAGUAUGCAUACAACCACUCCCCCUCGGUUUAUCUUUUAGAUUAAAAUUGGGAUACCACAUGUUCAUGUGUGAAACUAUCUUCUCUUUUGUCCCCCCUGCCGCACCCCUAAACUAACACAAUCUAGUCUUUAGGAAUUCUGUGUUAUAGAAGCCUGGCUGGUCACUUUCUCAGGGUCUGAGAGUCCUAGAAGCCAGCAAUGGGAUCAGAACCCAUAAUCCCAGUACUUUGGUGUUCCAGAGGCAUGGGCAGAAGCUUUGAAAAUUUCAGGGCAGCCUGGCUUCCUAGAGAGUAUGUGCUACAUAGAGAGCCCCUAUCUC
rnacentral:sRNA from 1 species